GGUCUGGUGGCCAAGUGGUAAGGCAAGGGUCUGCAAAACCCUCAUCGUGGGUUCAAAUCCCACCCAGACCU
rnacentral:tRNA from 1 species